CGUCCAGACUCCUACGGGAGGCAGCAGUGGGGAAUAUUGCACAAUGGGGGAAACCCUGAUGCAGCGACGCCGCGUGAGCGAAGAAGUACCUCGGUAUGUAAAGCUCUAUCAGCAGGGAAGAAGAUGACGGUACCUGACCAAGAAGCCCCGGCUAACUACGUGCCAGCAGCCGCGGUAAUACGUAGGGGGCAAGCGUUAUCCGGAUUUACUGGGUGUAAAGGGAGCGUAGACGGCGAUGCAAGUCUGAAGUGAAAGGCGGGGGCCCAACCCCCGGACUGCUUUGGAAACUGUAUAGCUGGAGUGCAGGAGAGGUAAGUGGAAUUCCUAGUGUAGCGGUGAAACGCGUAGAUAUUAGGAGGAACACCAGUGGCGAAGGCGGCCUGCUGGACGACAACUGACGGUGAGGCGCGAAAGCGUGGGGAGCAAACAGGAUUAGAUACCCCAGUA
rnacentral:rRNA from 1 species